rnacentral:rRNA from 1 species
AGCGAACGCUGGCGGCAGGCCUAACACAUGCAAGUCGAACGAACCCUUCGGGGUUAGUGGCGGACGGGUGAGUAACACGUGGGAACGUGCCUUUAGGUUCGGAAUAACUCAGGGAAACUUGUGCUAAUACCGAAUGUGCCCUUCGGGGGAAAGAUUUAUCGCCUUUAGAGCGGCCCGCGUCUGAUUAGCUAGUUGGUGAGGUAAUGGCUCACCAAGGCUACGAUCAGUAGCUGGGCUGAGAGGAUGACCAGCCACAUUGGGACUGAGACACGGCCCAAACUCCUACGGGAGGCAGCAGUGGGGAAUCUUGCGCAAUGGGCGAAAGCCUGACGCAGCCACGCCGCGUGGAUGAUGAAGGUCUUAGGAUUGUAAAAUCCUUUCACCGGUGAAGAUAAUGACUGUAGCCGGAGAAGAAGCCCCGGCUAACUUCGUGCCAGCAGCCGCCGUAACAC